UAUUAAAAACUUCAUUCAUUUCUAUUUUUAAAAACUAACAUGGUUGAUAGAAUAACCAGACAGUUACAUGUGGUGUGCCACAUGUACCUCAUUUUCACGUACAAUGAUCAGGUUUUAACAGUAGAAAUGGAUGAGAUUUUUUGACA
rfam:Gossypium raimondii Chr06_contig_47, whole genome shotgun sequence.